GUUUCUCUAGGAUUGGUCAAAUUGGUGUAGACACCUCUGAUGAGAUAUCCAAUAAGAACAAGCAUGCAUGAACAACCAUUUUUGAGAAGCGAGCCACAUGUAACAUUGCUCAUCAGCAAGCGGGCCGCACUACCAAAAGAAAAAGUUCAAGGUAAUUUUUCAUUGACGUGCCAUUCAGAAAAUCUUUUGGGCUACAGUUUGCCCAUGACUGUUUUAGAAGAUCAAUAACGGUAUUUUAUUAAUCCUCUCUACUCGUCACGCAAAAUUGAAUUUAUGAAAGUCACACACAUCCCCCACUUUGACCCAAAUUCGUGAUCUAUGAUUAAACCAUGUGAUUUGAAAAAA